rnacentral:misc_RNA from 1 species
GGAAAACAAAAUAUGUUCUAAAAUAAUGUUUGAAAACUUGUUCUGGAAAAUUAACAUGACAGGACUAACCAUGAUGAUCUGUUGCGUAUUCUUUCAUUUCAUCUACGACGAUCUUCGUUUCUUUCUCUAUGAGAAUGUGAUGAAGAAUCUCUACCAUGAGAGGAUCGAUAAUCUCUCUUCUCAUCUGGAUUUUCCCUCCUAUGUGAUUCUGAGCGAUGUCUUCCCGAUAUAUCUCUUUCCCUUCUUUUAUCAUCUUCCCUCAGCUUUGUUUGAUAAUCUUCAUGUCCAUGCCUU